rnacentral:antisense_RNA from 2 species
UGUAGGAGCUGCCGAAGGCUGCGAUCUUUUGACUUUUGUUUUUAAAAUCAAAAGAUCGCAGCCUUCGGCAGCUCCUACA